GAGUUUGAUCCUGGCUCAGGACGAACGCUUGCGACGUGCCUAAGAAAUGCAAGUCGAACGGGGUUGCCUUCAGGCAGCCUAGUGGCGAACGGUCGCGUAACACGUGGGCAACCUGCCCUGAAGCGGGGGACAACGGGGGAGAAACUUCCGCUAAUACCGCAUGUGAAUUGCUCCAGCAUCGGAGAGGAUUCAAAGCCGCAAGGCACUUCAGGAUGGGCCCGCGGCCUAUCAGCUUGUUGGUGGGGUAACGGCCUACCAAGGCGACGACGGGUAGCUGGUCUGAGAGGACGAUCAGCCGGAUUGGGACUGAGAUACGGCCCAGACUCCUACGGGGGGCAGCAAUUAGGAAUCUUGCGCAAUGGGCGAAAGCCUGACGCAGCGACGUCGCGUGAAGGAUGAAAUCUUUCGGGAUGUAAACUUCUUUUAUCGGGGAAGAAACAGAUGACGGUACCCGAUGAAUAAGCCCCGGCUAACUACGUGCCAGCAGCCGCGGUAAUACG
rnacentral:rRNA from 1 species